rnacentral:rRNA from 1 species
GCCCCACAGUCUGGGAUACCACUUGGAAACAGGUGCUAAUACCGGAUAAGAAAGCGGAUCGCAUGAUCAGCUUUUAAAAGGCGGCGUAAGCUGUCGCUAUGGGAUGGCCCCGCGGUGCAUUAGCUAGUUGGUAAGGUAAAGGCUUACCAAGGCGAUGAUGCAUAGCCGAGUUGAGAGACUGAUCGGCCACAUUGGGACUGAGACACGGCCCAAACUCCUACGGGAGGCAGCAGCC